rnacentral:rRNA from 1 species
GACGAACGCUGGCGGCGUGCUUAACACAUGCAAGUCGAACGGAAAGGCCCCCUUGUGGGGUACUCGAGUGGCGAACGGGUGAGUAACACGUGAGUAACCUACCCUUGACUUUGGGAUAACUUCAGGAAACUGGGGCUAAUACCGGAUAGGAGCUCCUGCUGCAUGGUGGGGGUUGGAAAGUUUCGGCGGUUGGGGUGGACUCGCGGCUUAUCAGCUUGUUGGUGGGGUAGUGGCUCACCAAGGCUUUGACGGGUAGCCGGCCUGAGAGGGUGACCGGCCACAUUGGGACUGAGAUACGGCCCAGACUCCUACGGGAGGCAGCAGUGGGGAAUAUUGCACAAUGGGCGGAAGCCUGAUGCAGCAACGCCGCGUGCGGGAUGACGGCCUUCGGGUUGUAAACCGCUUUCGCCUGUGACGAAGCGUGAGUGACGGUAAUGGGUAAAGAAGCACCGGCUAACUACGUG